CCAGGAACCGGCAUGGGACACCAAGGAGAUGGGCUUCUGCUCAGAAAAAACAUCAGUCAAACUCAGAUCCAGAGAGCCCCGAACAGAGGCAGGGAACAGUCACAGUGACAGAUUUCAGGCCACACUGGCCCCUUCCCUCCGCCUGCCAGCCGCCAGCGGGGCCGUGGCAGAAGCCUGGCCCGGCCCACAGCCGCUCUCAGGGCCCAGCAGACCCUGGCUCAACACAAGCCGACGGCAGGAGCAAGACUCAGUACAAAGAAAGUAUUAACAGUUGUGAGCUGGCCCAGCUUCAGCCAGAGCCCUCCGGCCUCCUGUCCUCCGCCCGGCCGCUGUGGGGCCCGGCCACGCCAGGCCGUGCAGGCCAAGGCAGAGUGGGGCCGGCACCAGCAGCACUACUAAGUUUUCAAAGGCGAAAAUAAUAAUAAUAAAAAAGUGCUUUCCCAGGCUUACCUGUCUUUUAAAAGAAAAAAAUUCCACAUAAAAAAACCCAGCUGCUAAAUGGUAUAAUAAGUCGUCAAUUCUCAAAACUAGAUGUUAGGCUUUUUAUAAACACAAAAGAAGCUCUUAACAUCUUCUCUCAAAAAAAAAAUCAUAUCCAUAAAAAACUUCUCCUCUCUAAAUAUCAACCAAUACAAAACCAGCUCACAUGUAGACAGCCAUUUCCUGACUUGCCUUUAUCAUACAAACUCAGGGAUGGAUCCAGGUGCUCUGGUAAUACAGGUAACAGCCUGACCUAGAAUUACUUGAUAACAAUAUGAACACAGAUCCCACAGUUCUCAAAAACAGGCUGAACCCUAAGAAUUUAAAAUGACUCCAUAAUAUUUCGUCACUGGAAAAAUGAAGUAAGCAGUUCACACUGAAAGUCACCACUCUGUCAGUUAAGGGGAAAUAAAAGUGGAAUGUACUUAUGGGAGGUGAAAAAUCCAAAUAAUAGAAGAAACUAGGAGGAGCCAGCAAAAGGAGAAUGCCUUGAUUGCAUCAGAAUUGAUUCAAAUUAUUUGGGGAAAUAAUAUGAGAAAACUGAAUAAGCAAAAGAAACAUUGUAAUGAGCUAUAUCUGUAUCUCUGUACAUAGUUUAAAAAUAGCCUUGAAUGCAUCAGUAAAGGUAUUUUUGGGAGGUUUUUUGUAUUUUUUAUAGUCAGGGAAAAUACAAUUAUUUUACACUUUGUUAAGUACUAAUUACAGGGCUAAAUCUGUAUUUGAACUCAAAUACUAAGAAAGGACAUUGACUAGAGAAAAUCUAAAACAUGACAAAAAUCUUCAGAAGGCUGUACAAUGGAAAGAGAGGAGAUUGAAAUGCAUUUUGGAGAUACAUUCUACAGAAAGUAAAGUGGCUCAGAUCUCCUCUUCAUCCAAACAGAUGUCUACAGGUCUGACCUGUGAGCUUGCCUUGAGUGUUUGAAAAGUAUUUACCUGAAGACAGAAAUAUGGUGCUGUGCCUGGUGUGUGACCUCUCACCUAUGGCCAGUGAAAGCAUAGGAAAAGUAUGCCUUAAGGAAAAGACUGUUGUGCUGAGUUUUUUCCUGUGUAUACUCAGGCAACAGAGAAGAGUGCUGUCAUUCAUGAUACACUGGGGCCAAAGAAUCAAUCUAGAAACCCAUGAGACCUGCAAAGAAUUCUGAAGGGUUGUAAGGCAGGAGUGUUGCACCCAUUUAAGUCUCACAGCAAACUCUUCAACCAACUUCCAAAGUACAUCAGCUUUAAGAACUUUCAGAAAAUCAGUAGAAUUUAGAAUAUAGGAAAACUUCUUUGAACCGAUGCUUUUAGGCUGGCAUGAGGCAGCGAUUUCACAUUUGUAACUAUAAAGUUUAAGCUGUUACUACAGAGACACAGAAAAAACUGAAGUCUUGGUUAAACUGUAUGUUGGUGAAGAUACUGAAAUAGUUCUAGAAAAUGACUGCUUUUCAUGCCUUAGUAUUAAAAUUUCUUUUGGAAAAAAAACUAACAAAGAUUUAUUGUUUGGGAAAAUAUGUUUGAACUACAUAGUUGGUGUUCUGUGACUCACAGCUUGCUUGCAUGUGUGUGUCCUUGUGAUGUUAACUCACCAAAGAAGUUUUAAAACUGUUGAUUUUAAAUUACACAGUGUGGAUACAGCAGUGUUUCAUAGCACUAAUGAGUCCAGGAUAAUGUUACUUGAAGCUAGAGCAGAGAAAGUAUUGUAACACGCCUUUUCCGCAGCUAUCCUACACUCUGACACAUUUUGUGAGCUGCGUGGCAUGUGGCAGACUGCUUAGUGCAGAUAGAAACCUCCUACAGAUUUAAAUGCUUUACAGAAUGAGGAAGAUUUUGUGCAUAACUAUCCCUGCAAAAUAUCUGUCUAUCAAGGUGAUGUAUCACCUCUGUAUUUUUCUACAGUGAUAAAAUUAAUAUAAAUUCUUAAAAUUGAUAACCUGAUUAUUUUUUUUCUCAAAACUAAUUUUGUUUUUCUGUCUCUUCAAAGCUUCAUAAUUAUAUCAAUAAUCAAUAGCCAAGGAUAAGAAAUGGAUUGUAACUGAUUCAGAAAACAAUUUUGGAUCUGAACUGUGAACUUAUGCUGUGAAUUUGCAGUUAUUGUUGGAAAUGACAGUAGCUUUUGCUUCAUAAAAUAGUUAAAGCCAUUUGCCCAUAGAAUAUCUGUUUGUGGAAAUUUUAAAUAAACCUGAGAA